AGAUUGAACGCUGGCGGCAUGCCUUACACAUGCAAGUCGAACGGCAGCACGGGGGCAACCCUGGUGGCGAGUGGCGAACGGGUGAGUAACAUAUCGGAACGUGCCCUGGAGUGGGGGAUAACUAGUCGAAAGACUAGCUAAUACCGCAUACGAUCUAUGGAUGAAAGUGGGGGAUCGCAAGACCUCAUGCUCGUGGAGCGGCCGAUAUCUGAUUAGCUAGUUGGUGGGGUAAAGGCCUACCAAGGCAUCGAUCAGUAGCUGGUCUGAGAGGACGACCAGCCACACUGGGACUGAGACACGGCCCAGACUCCUACGGGAGGCAGCAGUGGGGAAUUUUGGACAAUGGGCGCAAGCCUGAUCCAGCAAUGCGCGUGAGUGAAGAAGGCCUUCGGUUAGUAAGCUUCUUUGUCGAGGAAGUAACGGUUCUGGCUAAGUACCGUGAGCUAAGUGACGUACUGAAGAAUAAGCACCGAUAACUACGU
rnacentral:rRNA from 1 species